rnacentral:lncRNA from 1 species
UGUGUCUUUACUUUGCACUAUGCAAGUGUCCUGCUGUUAUGAUAAGAAGUAAUAGAGUAAACUUGUAACCUAGCCAUUGGAGGUUGCCCCAAAGACAAGGCAGAAACAAUAACAUGAAAAUGUUUAGAGCAGUAUUUUGUUGAUCAUGCCAGAUUCCUGUCCCACCCCAAGAGAUCACACAUCUAGAAGGAUGGAUUGGAUCUUCUGUCAUGGAGGAUAAUACAAGAAGUGUGUUUAUUUAACAUUUCAUAAUUGGUCUAAGGGCUACAAUAUCUUCAUGUCACCUCAUAACCUCCCCAUAGUGAGUCUUUCACAGUGAAUGACUAUUUGUUUGUAGGAUUAGAGAACUUCAAUCUUGCAAACAUCAGCAGAAUCUAGUUCAUGCAAUUCUUUGGACUCUGGAGGCCAGUAGGUGUUCCAAGUUUAGGUGCAGGUGUGAUGAUUCCAUAUGGGGUAGCAAAAAAACAAACAAACAAAAUCAGAGUAGAAUGUAAUUAUCCUAACAUCCCGGUCUAUGCCAUAUAGAGACCAAGCAAUUCAAAUGUGCAGACUCCUUGUGGUAACUUGUGGACUCAAAUGCAUUCUUAAGCUUGAGAGCAGAGGAAGGCAAAAACCAGACCGAUUCACCUAUCACAUGUUUCCUUUCCCAGGCUCAUUCAUUUGUGUCAGUGAGGACUGAGGAAUGAUGAGAAUUAAAAUCAUGGUUACUUGGAGGUGAAAGUUGUAAGACAAAGAGUAUGUGGGAAGAAUGAAAAUAACAGUUCUAUUGAAACAAGGAAUGAAAACUCUGCCCCUAAGCUGACAUGGUUUAUGACUGACGAUGUCACCAAAUUGUGGAGAAGCACUCAUUAACAUAACUGAACAAUAGUUUUGAAAGCUCUUGUACAAGAUACAAGUAGCCAUAAGACUUACUGGCCUGGUGUGUGGAGACUUCAGAGGAGGUAGGGCAACUCUUCUAGGUGCCAUGAGCAAGCCCCAUUAAACUAAAGAAAUCAAAUCACCUCAUUCUUAAAGUCUUGAGAAGAUGAGAUAAACUUAAAAGCUUUCAACUGUGAAAGAACAGAAACAAAGCUCGCUGGAGAGAUGGGAUCUGAAUAGUCAAAUCAUUUUGAAUAGGCACUAUGUACUUGGGAACUUCUGCAUGAGCAAGUGAUUCUUGGAUAUUCCUGUAAAUCCAUUCUGAAUAUGGAAAUAAUCUUCGGGCCGGGCGCGGUGGCUCACUCCUGUAAUCCCAGCACUUUGGGAAGCCGAGGCGGGCAGAUCACGAGGUCAGGAGAUGCAGACCAUCUUGGCUAACACGGUGAAACCCCAUCUCUACUAAAAAUACAAAAAAGUUAGCGGGGCGUGGUGGCGGGCGCCUGUAGUCCCAGUUACUCAGGAGGCUGAGGCAGGAGAACUGCGUGAACCCGGGAGGCGUAGCUUGCGG